UACAGAGGUCCCAAGCGUUGUUCGGAUUCACUGGGCGUAAAGGGUGCGUAGGCGGUGAGGUAAGUUUGUGGUGAAAGCUCCAGGCUCAACUUGGAAAUUGCCGCGAAGACUAUCUCGCUAGAGGAUCGGAGGGGAGACUGGAAUUCUCGGCGUAGCAGUGAAAUGCGUAGAUAUCGAGAGGAACACCAGUGGCGAAGGCGAGUCUCUGGACGGUUCCUGACGCUGAGGCACGAAAGCCAGGGGAGCAAACGGG
rnacentral:rRNA from 1 species